AAUUCAGCCCGAUUACCAUAUUUUCGUGUGCCACCUUCUGAGUGGGUCGGGCACUCGGAUCGCCUUAAAUUUUUUCAGGCCAUCAAAUAUGAACUAAGGAACCAUAGUCACAUCCCACCAUGAUCGUUCCUUGUUGUUUUGCGUUUUACGACCAAGAAACUAAAAUUCUGCCUGAUUCCCAUAUUUUCGUGUGCUACAUCCCACACCUUCUGAGUGGGCCCGGGCCGCCCGGACCCGAAUAGCUUUAAAUUUUUAUGGGCCAUAAAAUACGACCUAAGGAACCAUAGUGACCGCCCCGCCAUGACCGUUCCUCAUUGUUUUGCGUUUUACGGCCAAAAACUAGAAUUCUGCCCGAUUCCCAUAUUUUCGCGUGCUAUAAGCCCACGCCUUCCCAGUGGGCCCGGGCCUCUCGGACCCCUACCGCCUAAAAAUUUUCUAGGCCAUCAAAUAUGACCUAAGGAACCAUAGUCACCGUCCCACCGUCACUGCCCCUCUAUGACCGUUCCUCGUUGUUUUGCAUUUUAUGGCCAAAAAACUAGAAUUCCGCCCGAUUCUCAUAUUUUCGUGUGCUAUGGCCCAUGCCUUCCGAGUGGGCACGGGCCCCCCGGAACAGGAUCGCCUAUAAUUUGUCCGGGACAUCAAAUACAACCUAAGGAACAAUAGUCACCGCCUUGCCAUGACCGUUCCUCUUUGUUUUUCCUUUUACGGCCAAAAAACUAGAAUUCCGCCUGAUUCCCAUAUUUUCAUGUGCUAUAGCCCACGCCAUCCGAGUGGGCAAGGGCCCCCCAGAACCGGAUCGCCUAUAAUUUUUUCGGGCCAUCAAAUAUGACGUAAGGAACAAUAGUCACCACCAUGCCAUGACUGUUCCUCGUUUUUGCGUUUUACGGCCUAAAAACUAGAAUUCGCCCAAUUCCUAUAUUUUCGUGUGCUAUAGCCCACGCCUUUUGAGUGGGCCGGGCCCCCCGGACUCGGAUCGCCUAAAACCUUUUCGGGCCAUUAAAUACAACCUAAAGAACCAUAGUCACUGCCUCGCCAUCACCAUUCCUCGUUUGUUUUGCAUUUUACGGCCAAAAAAAUAGAAUUCCGCCCGAUUCUCAUAUGUUCAUGUGCUAUAGCCCAAGCCUUCCGAGUGGGCAGGGCCCCCAGACCCGGAUCACCUAAAAUUUUUCCAAGCCAUGAAAUACGACCUAAGGAUCUAUAGUCACCGCCUUGCCAUGGGCGUUCCUCAUUUUUUGCGUUUUACAACCAAAAAACUAGAAUUUCGCCCGAUUCUUAUAUUUUCGUGUGCUAUAGCCCACGCCUUCCGAGUGGGCUGGUGCCCCCGGACUCGGAUCGCCUAAAUUUUUUCGGGCCGUCAAAUACGACCUAAAGAACCAUUGUCACCACCUCUCCAUGACUGUUCUUCAUGUUUUGCGUUUUACAGCCAAAAAACUAAAAUUCCGCCUGAUUCCAAUAUUUUCGUGUGCUAUAGCCCACGCCUUCCGAGUGGGCUCGGCUCCCAGGACUCAGAUCGCCUAAAAAAAAUUUCGGGCCGUCAAAUAUGACAUAAAGAACCAUAAUCACCACCUCGCCAUGACCGUUCCUCAUUAUUUUGUGUUUUACGGCCAAAAAACUAGAAUUCAGCCCCAUUAACAUAUUUUCGUGUGCCACCUUCCGAGUGGGUCGGAACCCUCCAGACCUGGAUCGUAUGCUAUAUCCCACACCUUCUGAGUGGGCCCGGGCCGCCCGGACCCGAAUAUACUUAAACUUUUAUGGGCCAUCAAAUACGACCUAAAGAACCAUAGUCACCUCCCCGCCAUGACCGUUCCUUGUUGUUUUGCGUUUUACGGCCAAAAACUAGAAUUUUGCCCGAUUCCCAUAUUUUCGUUUGCUAUAGCACACGGCUUCCGAGUGGGCCCGGGGCCCCCGGACUCGGAUCGCCUAAAGUUUUUUCGGGCCAUCAAAUAUGACCUAAAGAACCAUAGUCACUGCCUUGCCAUAACCAUUCCUCAUUUUUUGCCUUUUUC
rnacentral:lncRNA from 1 species